GUGGGGAAUAUUGGACAAUGGGCGAAAGCCUGAUCCAGCCAUGCCGCGUGUGUGAAGAAGGUCUUCGGAUUGUAAAGCACUUUAAGUUGGGAGGAAGGGCAGUAAGUUAAUACCUUGCUGUUUUGACGUUACCGACAGAAUAAGCACCGGCUAACUUCGUGCCAGCAGCCGCGGUAAUACGAAGGGUGCAAGCGUUAAUCGGAAUUACUGGGCGUAAAGCGCGCGUAGGUGGUUUUGUAAGUUGGAGGUGAAAUCCCCGGGCUCAACCUGGGAACUGCCUCCAAAACUGCAUGACUAGAGUACGGUAGAGGGUAGGGGAAUUUCCUGUGUAGCGGUGAAAUGCGUAGAUAUAGGAAGGAACACCAGUGGCGAAGGCGACUACCUGGACUGAUACUGACACUGAGGUGCGAAAGCGUGGGGAGCAAACAGGAUUAGAUACCCCGGUAGUCC
rnacentral:rRNA from 1 species